CUUCACGGCACGGCGGCUCUGGUCUCUUUAGCACCACGAUGGAGCUGUGGAGGGGGCUGGGUACCCGGCGGGAGACCACGCUCAACGUCCUGCAGAUGCUCAUGACCAUCCUGGAGGAGCCCCGCCGGGAGGAGGCCGAGAUCUCCAUUCAGCCCGUGGCGGUGACGUGUGCCCUGUGUGAGAUGCUGUCGGGCCCCGAGUGUCAGGCGGCCGUACAGGAGCUUUAUCCCCGGCUUCUCCUGGCUGUGCUCAACCACCUGAACCAGGUCAUCCAGCAGGACGUCCCCCCGUGCAUGGUCGUAUACCGCCAAGGAAGGGCUCUCUGGGGGCCAGGGCAAGGUCUAUGACCCCGCCAGCUGUGCCUUGGAGGUCCUGAGAACGCUACUCCUGGCUGCAGAGUACCUGGGAGUGAUUGCUCACGUUGAUCAACAUCGGGGUUGGGACCUGCUGUCCAGCCCCAGGGACUUCUAUCUAGGGGUCAUAGAGUUGACGAGUGGCAUGGUGAAGAGCUGUGCCCCGCGCAUCCUGCUCCGCAUCCUGAACCAGAUCCGCCCGCUCCUCAACAGCCAGAAUGAGCAGAAG